rnacentral:rRNA from 1 species
GAUGAACGCUGGCGGCGUGCCUAAUACAUGCAAGUCGAGCGAACGGACGAGAAGCUUGCUUCUCUGAUGUUAGCGGCGGACGGGUGAGUAACACGUGGAUAACCUACCUAUAAGACUGGGAUAACUUCGGGAAACCGUAGCUAAUACCGGAUAAUAUUUUGAACCGCAUGGUUCAAAAGUGAAAGACGGUCUUGCUGUCACGUAUAGAUGGAUCCGCGCUUGAUUAGCUAGUUGGUAAGGUAACGGCUUACCAAGGCAACGAUGCAUAGCCGACCUGUGAGGGUGAUCGGCCACACUGGAACUGAGACACGGUCCAGACUCCUACGGGAGGCCGCAGUAGGGAAUCUUACGCAAUGGGCGAGAGCCUGACGGAGCGACGCCGCGUGAGUGAUGAAGGUCUUCGGAUCGUAAAGCUCUGUUAUUAGGGAAGAACAUAUGUGUAAGUAACUGCGCACAUCUUGACGGUACCUAAUAAGAAAGCCACGGCUAACUACGUG